GGUCCCAAGGGUUGGGCUGUUCGCCCAUUAAAGCGGUACGCGAGCUGGGUUCAGAACGUCGUGAGACAGUUCGGUCCCUAUCUGCCGUGGACGACAGGAGAUUUGAGAGGAGCUGUCCUUAGUACGAGAGGAUCGGGAUGGACAGACCGCUAGUGUACCAGUUGUUCCGCCAGGGGCAAAAGCUGGGUAGCUAUGUCUGGAAGGGAUAAGCGCUGAAAGCAUCUAAGUGCGAAGCCCACCUCAAGAUAAGAUCUCCCAUAAUGAUGCUCGGGAGCAAAGAGUAUCUUUAUAUACUCUGAGCUUCAGGGCUAGUUGGUAAGACUCCUGGAAGACUACCAGGUUGAUAGGCUGGAAGUGUAAGUCCGGUAACGGAUUGAGCUAACCAGUACUAAUCAGUCGAGGGCUUGACCAA
rnacentral:rRNA from 1 species